GCGAUUUCUGUGACUCCUGCGAUUUCUGCGACUUACCACCGUAUGAAAAAGUUACAUCUGUCCACACAGAAAAUUGCAUCUCAACAAACCUGUCAUUGGUACGCGAACUACAUUUUAGUCACUCAGUAAAGUGAUAACUCAAAAUAUCAUUGUCAACAGAUCUGAAGAAAUUGCCACUGCGUCUUUAGACCGUUUUCGUCAGACGAGAGACACAGUUCUGACUCUGAUUACUGGUUGCUGUACGUAUCUAUCCACAUCAAGGCUGUUGAGAGAGACUCGUGAAGAUUCAAGACAGCUCUUAGAAGAUUUUGCAGUUUAAAAGUGACAUAAUUGUGAAAUAAG